rnacentral:tRNA from 1 species
GGCCAAGUAGCCCAGUUGGUAGAGCGGCGGAAUGAAUAUCCGCGUGUCGGCGGUUCGACUCCGCCCUUGGCGACCA